AUGCAGAAACUUCUGCUCCAAAUUCUAUGGCUGAGUCUCUAUGUAUGCCAGCCUGUCCGUGGCCAUUUUGUUACUUAAAAAGUAUAUCGCAUCGAAGCGACGUGAGACGGUUACGUGACGUAGUUGUCGUCGGGUUGCUACCUGGGUUGCCGUAGUACCUAGCUGUGGGCUUAAGAGAAAAAAAACUCUGUGGGGAUGAGAGUCAAGAAACUCAGACGUGUGGAAACGCUGGGAUUCGCUGGGGAAUAUUUUACUGCUACUAGAAAAUAUUCUUAUCUACGUGUUUACAGUUCUGGUAAUAUCGAAGCCUGGACGAUUGGCAACGACUAUUUUCACGGACGACCUAACCAAGAAAUGUGUCUAGGGAUACGGUGUCUUGUUCUAUGAAACCGGGAUAGUGCUUAUUGUUAUGUAAGAAAUCCUAUGUUCUGUAGCCUUUUAAAAGUUCGUAACAAUAAUUAUAAUAUAAUAUGACGAGUGUUUACUUAAUGCUUGCUGUGGUUAAUGGAAAUACUCAAACUACGAUGGGUUCAAUCUAUUUCAGUGAAAUAUACUUAACGCUUCGAAAUCCAGUAAUAAUCGUAAUCCGACUAGUGCAGUGCUGUGCAGUUCAGUGCAAUGUAGUGCAAUGGAUGGCUGCACUGUAAUAGAUACCGUCCCCAAGUAAUCCACGAGGCUUGUGGCUUCGUGAUACCGGUUACUGAGUGGUUACUUUGCUAGUAAAUCGAGCGUGCGUACGUGUCACGCCCUACGCCUGUCAAGCGUAUUCGUCCACACGUAGGAUCCAGUGAUAAAGAUUUUCACAGGGACAGCGGGCCGUUUCGCCGCUUUACACGAGUUUUACGCAAGUUAAACCAAACUCCAUUCUACUGGCGUAGCCAGCCCCUAACAACAGAAGGAUACGUACACUAUGUAUAUACGCGUGCACGUGCAAGGCCAUGGAAUACCGUUGGGGCAUCAGGAUCCCACGUGUUUACAUCGGUAAAUCUAAUCCUAUGCGAGGCUACGAGAGGUAAUCCGCAUAAGAGCCUCCAUGUUGAAUACGAAAACGACAAGCUUCACCGUCAUAUUAUUAAGCAGGGGAUAUUUACCUUGGACGAAGUUGCACGGGGAGGAAGGAAGAAGAAGAAAAAGAAAAUUCCAUUUUCUUGGCAUCGAGGUUAACUUCGUAAUUCUCGGUGACAUAUAUCGAGCGUGCAUACACACUGUAAUUGCUAUUUAGCUGCUCUUUGAAGUAUCGAUCGAAGAAAGCAAUUUGACUGAGGAGCACUGAGUAGCAGGCGAGGCGGACCUGCAAUGUGAUUAGGUUAAUUGGCUGAUGCUUACAUUAAUAUUAAGUGGGAGUCUGGCGAGUACGAAAGCAGUCAGAAGGAAUCAGAAGGCUUCUGUGGAUAUAAUUAUAUAUAUGUAUAUAACUAUGUAAGAGAGGGUAUCAGCAGAAUGUAUAACAGAGAAGAGGGAAAACACCUUGGGGAUGAAAUGGCUGACUUUCCUCCAGGCAGAGUGAAAUUUCUUAUCGUGAAGCUCUUCGUUCUGUCGAACAAUUGGGAUCGAAGGUGGUUUGAUACUUCGAGUCUACGGUCAAAGGGACGUUUUAUCGUCGUGUGUACUAGGCAAUCACGGGAGGAUGCUUUUGAGUGACGUCACUUUUGAAUUUUCAAAAGACCCCUUUUACCCGGACCACAUUCCCAGGAGUGUUCUCGAGAGUGUCUAGUGGGUUCGCUUGGUGCUUCAGGAUUUGCGAAAUAAGGGUGCACCGUCCAAACGAUCCCAUAGAAAUGACAACGCUUUCGUGGGAGUCAUGGCUGAAGAUUAGGAAAAUAGGUUAGACGUUAAGACCUAACCUUAUCCUUCGAUAACUGUCAUCAUCAUCGAAGGCCGUUAUCAACCUCCCUUCUAGCUGGAGGAUUUCUCGUUAUCGUCAGCUACCCCAUUGUCUCACUGCCAACGGGGUUGUACCAGAUGGAUGUAAUUCUCACGGGAGCUGCCUUCGCGUUAAACCUUCUAGAAGGUUCUGACCAUAGAGCCCAGAGUACAUAGAACUGCUCGCCACCGUGCAAUUACCGGGUGACAAUUUCCUGGUGACAAUUAAGAACAAAAAAAAACUGAUAUAGAAAGAGCUAGUAAUUAUUUUUUCAUGAAUUCAAACUCACCCCAAAAAUCAAAGUUAAGGAUAACGACCCAACGUACAAUGGUUUCCAUGAUUUUUUUCUAAUUAAAAAAAAAUCCUUAUUCACGCAGCGACGAU